rnacentral:rRNA from 1 species
AACGAACGCUGGCGGCAUGCCUAACACAUGCAAGUCGAACGAGACCUUCGGGUCUAGUGGUGCACGGGUGCGUAACGCGUGGGAACCUGCCCUUAGGUUCGGAAUAACUCCCCGAAAGGGGUGCUAAUACCGGAUAAUGUCUUCGGACCAAAGAUUUAUCGCCUUUGGAUGGGCCCGCGUUGGAUUAGCUAGUUGGUAGGGUAAAAGCCUACCAAGGCGACGAUCCAUAGCUGGUCUGAGAGGAUGAUCAGCCACACUGGGACCGAGACACGGCCCAGACUCCUACGGGAGGCAGCAGUGGGGAAUAUUGGACAAUGGGCGAAAGCCUGAUCCAGCAAUGCCGCGUGAGUGAUGAAGGCCUUAGGGUUGUAAAGCUCUUUUACCCGGGAUGAUAAUGACAGUACCGGGAGAAUAAGCUCCGGCUAACUCCGUG